rnacentral:rRNA from 1 species
GCAAGAUACCACGGGCGCACGGCGGAUGCCUUGGCACAGGGAGCCGAUGAAGGACGCGGCAAGCUGCGAUAAUCCCCGGCGAGGAGCACACAUCCUUCGACCCGGGGGUCUCCGAAUGGGCGAACCCAUGCACAGCGGUGUGCAUAUCCCCGGCCCGAACACAUAGGGCCGGGGAGGACAACCCGGGGAACUGAAACAUCUAAGUACCCGGAGGAGAGGAAAUCAAUCUCGAGACUCCCCGAGUAGCGGCGAGCGAAAGGGGACCGAUGGCCAAACCGUCGAGCGGGCAUACCCGGCAGGGGUUCCGCCGACGGGGUUGCAGGGCCGCGCAUCCGGGGGCUGCCGCCCCCGGGCGCAGGUCCGGCUGGGGAGCGGAACGGCAUGGGAGGGCCGGCCGCAGCGGGUGACAGCCCCGUACGCGAACCCAGACCGGACGGCGCGACGCGGUCCCUGAGUAGGGCCGGGCACGUGAAACCCGGUCCGAACCUGGGUGGACCACCAUCCAAGCCUGAGUACUACCCUGUGACCGAUAGCGCACCAGUACCGUGAGGGAAAGGUGAAAAGCACCCCGGGAGGGGAGUGAAACAGUACCUGAAACCGUGCGCCCACGAGCAGUCGGAGCAACUUUACGUUGUGACGGCGUGCCUUUUGUAGAAUGAGCCAGCGAGUCGCUGGCGCGGGGCGAGGUUAACCGAAAGGGAGCCGGAGCGAAAGCGAGCCUUAACAGGGCGACUUGAGUCCCGCGCCGCGGACGCGAAGCCGGGUGAGCUAUCCGUGGGCAGGCUGAAGCGGGGGUAAGACCCCGUGGAGGGCCGAACGCACGUCGGUUGAAAACGGCGGCGAUGACCUGCGGAUAGGGGUGAAAGGCCAAUCAAACCCGGAGAUAUCUCGUUCUCCCCGAAAUAGCUUUAGGGCUAGCGUCGCGCGUUCACCGCCGGAGGUAGAGCACCGGAUGGACGAGGGGGCUUCGCCGCCUACCGAAUCCAACCGAACUCCGAAUGCCGGCGGCCCAGAGCGCGGCAGUCAGAGCAUGUGGGCUAAGCUGUGUGCUCGAGAGGGAAACAGCCCGGACCGCCCGCUAAGGUCCCCAAGUUCCAGCCGAGUGGCAAAGGAUGUGCGUCCGCCCAGACAACCAGGAUGUUGGCUUAGAAGCAGCCAUCCAUUCAAAGAGUGCGUAACAGCUCACUGGUCGAGUGGACAUGCGCCGACAAUACACGGGGCUAAGCUGGACACCGAAGCGGCGGGAUUUUAAUUCAUUAGAAUCGGUAGGGGAGCUUCCCAUGGGCGGAGAAGCCGGAGGGCGACCGACGGUGGAGCGCAUGGGAGUGAGAAUGCUGGCAUGAGUAGCGAGAGACGAGAGAGUAACUCGUCCGCCGUGAACCCGAGGUUUCCUGGGCAAGGCUAAUCCUCCCAGGGUCAGUCGGGGGCUAAGGCGAGGCCGGUAGGCGUAGCCGACGCGCAGCAGGCAGACAUUCCUGCACCGCGCACGCGGCGCUACGACCGACGGGGCGACGGAUGGGGGUGGCUCGGCGGGGUUCUGGACGUCCCCGUGAUGGAGCGCGGCCCGCGGACCAGGGAAAUCCGGUCCGCAUGAAGGGCGAGGCUCCGGACGAAGCGAUUGAGCGAAGCGAGUGAGCCCGAGGUCCCUAGAAAAACCCCUAGGCAGGCGCGUGCGCGCCCGUACCGCAAACCGACACAGGUGGGUGGGUAGAACAUACCGAGGCGAUCGGGUCAACCAUGGUCAAGGAACUCGGCACAAUGGCCCCGUAACUUCGGGAGAAGGGGUGCCCGCGCGUACGUGAACCGGCUUGCCCGGGGAGCGGAGGCGGGCCGCAGUGGAGAGGCCCAAGCGACUGUUUACCAAAAACACAGGACUCUGCAGAAGCCGCAAGGCGACGUAUAGGGUCUGACGCCUGCCCGGUGCCGGAAGGUCACGCGGAGGAGUUAGCCGUCAAGGCGAAGCCCCGAAGCCAAGCCCCGGUAAACGGCGGCCGUAACUAUAACGGUCCUAAGGUAGCGAAAUUCCUUGUCGGGU